CUCCUACGGGAGGCAGCAGUGGGGAAUUUUGGACAAUGGGCGAAAGCCUGAUCCAGCCAUGCCGCGUGAGUGAAGAAGGCCUUCGGGUUGUAAAGCUCUUUUAGUCGGAAAGAAAGAGUUGCAAUGAAUAAUUGUGAUUUAUGACGGUACCGACAGAAGAAGCACCGGCUAACUACGUGCCAGCGCCGCGGUAAUACGUAGGGUGCCAGCGCCGCGGUAA
rnacentral:rRNA from 1 species